rnacentral:tRNA from 1 species
UCCCUGAUGGUCCAGUGGCUAAGAUUCUGCACUCUCAGUGCAGGGGUGUGGGUUCAAUCCCUGGUCAGGGAA